ensembl:rRNA 5S_rRNA 5S ribosomal RNA
GUUUUUGGCCAUACCACCCUGAACGUGCCCGAUCUCAUCUGAUCUCGGAAACUAAGCAGGGUCGGGCCUGGUUAGUACUUGGAUGGGAGAAAUCUAGUUAGCCUAGGAUA